rnacentral:piRNA from 1 species
UNCACGUGUGCUGCUUUGGAUAGUGAG